rnacentral:rRNA from 1 species
CAGGGAUUGCCUCAGUAACGGCGAGUGAAGCGGCAACAGCUCAAAUUUGAAAGCUGGCUCUUGCAGAGCCCGCGUUGUAAUUUGUAGAGGAUGCUUCGGGCGCGGCGCUGGUCUAAGUUCUUUGGAACAAGACGUCAUAGAGGGUGAGAAUCCCGUAUGUGACUAGCUGCCUGUGCCUAUGUGAAGCUCCUUCGACGAGUCGAGUUGUUUGGGAAUGCAGCUCAAAAUGGGUGGUGUACUUCAUCUAAAGCUAAAUAUUGGCCAGAGACCGAUAGCGCACAAGUAGAGUGAUCGAAAGAUGAAAAGCACUUUGGAAAGAGAGUUAAACAGUACGUGAAAUUGUUGAAAGGGAAGCGCUUGCAAUCAGACUUGCGCGGCGUCGAUCAACCUGGGUUCUCCCUGGUGCACUCGGCGCUGCUCAGGCCAGCAUCAGUUUCAGCGGUUGGAUAAAGGCCUAGGGAACGUGGGUUACUUCGGUGACUGUUAUAGCCCUAGGUGCAAUGCAGCCUGUUGGGACUGAGGACCGCGCUUCGGCUAGGAUGCUGGCGUAAUGGUUGUAAGCGACCCGUCUUGAAACACGGACCAAGGAGUCUAACAUCUAUGCGAGUUUUUGGGUGUUAAACCCAUAAGCGUAAUGAAAGUGAACGGAGGUGAGAACCCUUAAGGGUGCAUCAUCGACCGAUCCUGAUGUCUUCGGAUGGAUUUGAGUAAGAGCAUAGCUGUUGGGACCCGAAAGAUGGUGAUCUAUACUUGAAUAGGGUGAAGCCAGAGGAAACUCUGGUGGAGGCUCGCAGCGGUUCUGACGUGCAAAUCGAUCGUCAAAUUUGAGUAUAGGGGCGAAAGACUAAUCGAACCAU